rfam:Brachypodium distachyon strain Bd21 chromosome 1, whole genome shotgun sequence.
AUAUUACUCCCUCCGUUUCAUAAUUCUUGUCUCAAAUUUGCCAAAAAAUGGAUGUAUCUAUUCCUAAAAAGUGUCUACAUAUAUGUAAUAUUUCGACAAGAAUUAUAAAACGGAGGGAGUACCUU